GAAAUACAACGGGCUACAAAACAAAAAACAUGGACGAAUUUUCUCCUGGUAUAAAUUUACUUUUGGAAAAGGGUGGACCAAAAGAACCGCGCAAAAAAGAGCAACUUAGAGCUGACGUGAAGCGAAAAAUCCGACAGCGAUUUCGUCGGAGGAGAAAGAAUCAGGCAGAAAACAAUACAGUUGCUCCAAUAUUUUCUCCUGUCAACUAUGACGAACAAAACUUAUUCACACCAAAUAGUAAUGAAAAAGUAAAAAAUGAGUCAUACUUAGCCCUCGUUGUUGACAAGCUAUGGGACAUUCAAAGAAACCCACAUUUAUACAU